ACCGCUUCUCAGCCUUUUGGCUAAGAUCAAAUGUAGUAUCUGUUCUUAUCAGUUUAAGAUCUGAUAUGUCCUCUAUCUGACAUUAAAUGGAUUUUUGGAGCAGGGAGUCGGAAUAGGGGCUUGCUCCAUCCACUCCAUGCACUGACCUGGUAUUGUAGUACUUCCAGGAAUGGUGUACCUCCU
rfam:Erinaceus europaeus unplaced genomic scaffold scaffold00340, whole genome shotgun sequence